AUACGAGAAAAGAAGGCUUUCAUGGUGUUGGGUUUGAUUUGUGGGCUUUGAAACAGUUUUGAUAUCGUUACAUUACAUUUGAAGGUAUUUCCCCGAUGGGGCCCCUGGUGCUGUAAAUGACGUCACUAUUUAGCUCAGGUUGACGAGCGGCCCUGAUGACGCGUCCAAGAUGGCCGACAGGCCCCUGAGCUGUAACUUCCGCUGCCCGACUGUUCGUGACGAUGGAGACCCGAUGGAAGAAAGGAGACUGACUGAAAAUGUUGGAGGAGCAGCUGGAGAAGAACAAGGCUGAAGACAAGCAGAAGACAGAGGACGAAAUGAACAGAACUGCUGAAUGAGCAGAGACACUUGAAGGUCUUGGAGAAGACGAGGAGGACGGAGGAACAUUUGGGCGCAGUUUCCAGACCUGAGGACGGCAGGUUUCUUCUUCUGCUCUGCGGUUACUCUGAGAAGUAACUUUGACAGUUUGGGGGUGGUUCAACUUUUGUCAAAUGUUUGCUGUGCAGCUGAAUUUUAAUAAAGAAUAAUUUGGUAUAACCCCC